rnacentral:rRNA from 1 species
UGGCUCAGAGUGAACGCUGGCGGCGUGCCUAAUACAUGCAAGUCGAACGAUGAAGCUUCUAGCUUGCUAGAAGUGGAUUAGUGGCGCACGGGUGAGUAAGGUAUAGUUAAUCUGCCCUACACAAGAGGACAACAGUUGGAAACGACUGCUAAUACUCUAUACUCCUGCUUAACACAAGUUGAGUAGGGAAAGUUUUUCGGUGUAGGAUGAGACUAUAUAGUAUCAGCUAGUUGGUAAGGUAAUGGCUUACCAAGGCUAUGACGCUUAACUGGUCUGAGAGGAUGAUCAGUCACACUGGAACUGAGACACGGUCCAGACUCCUACGGGAGGCAGCAGUAGGGAAUAUUGCGCAAUGGGGGAAACCCUGACGCAGCAACGCCGCGUGGAGGAUGACACUUUUCGGAGCGUAAACUCCUUUUCUU